CCAAAAAGGAACCAAAAUUGAAAAAUAGUGUUAAAAUUAAAAGUUAUGAAAAAUAGGAACUAAAAUUAACUUGGACCAAAAGAGUUUCAUGUGUAAGUUGCCGUAGGUUGGGGAUCCACACUGACAUAGAGCAGCAUAUUACAGCUCACUUAGGUCCUUGGCUUCUGUGUGUCCAUUUCAGGAUAUGGUGAAACAAACACUGAAUUGGUGAAUUGUGAAAGCAAAGAGCCUCCACCCAAGAUUAUUUGUCAAUAUAUUAUAUGCUGGGCUGGCCCCAUUUGCACAACACUUAUUUAAAAUAAUUUAUGAGAUCCUCCAGGGAGUCAUGGGGAGUUCAAUGCCCACUGUGAGUGCUACUACUCUGGGUCUGUGCCAAUAUCUGAGUUUAGGGCAGAUGCUUCCUGGGGAAGAUAUGAGAGAAUGGCAGGAAGAACAACCAAAGCUGAAAACACUUUCCAAAGCAACCUCUUGGCCUGGGAGUCCAGGAAAUAGCAAUCAGAGGAACAGGAAGCAUAACCAUGGAGACAGAGAGAGCUUGGGAAAGAGGGAGAGCUAGAAGAGGAUCAUGGGAUUGCUGCACCUGCACGCAAUUUCAUUGGCUGCUUGGUUGGACACAAGCUGAGAGGAGCCAAGGGGGAAGAGUGUCAUGACGACAUGGGAGAAGCUGGUGACUGCGAUGUUCUGCCACUUUUGGGCCCCGGAAGAGCUGCAUAGCAACCAGGGCUACAACUUCAAGGAGGCCUUGACGUACAGUAGGCAGUCUGUCACUACCUGAACAGGAUGAAGAAAUGCCCCCCCCCCCAACAGCCCUAACAAAAUGGAUUGAUAGUGCAUCUCAUCCAAAGUUUGGUGAUGAAGUUGGUGGAGAGUUCUGUCCCAAGCAAGGCAGUAAGAGGGAUCCUGUGAGGUUCUGUGGCAGUUGCUCAUAAGUUCUUCCAGACUCACCUCUCUGGCAGAUGCUACAGAUGUCUGACCUCCAAAGCCACAUGUCAUCUGUGCUGCAGUUAGAGACCUUAACUCUUGAUACUACUUACUUUCCUACAAACAUUGCUGCACAAUGCACACAGUCUAUAUUGCACCUUCUUUAUUUGUGCAUGAUGAAUGUGCCUUCCUAUUUAAUUGCAUUCUACAGAGUAUUUAACAUAUCCGUCUAUCAAGAGUUUGCUUAAAUUUAAUUGAAUGGUGUAUUUUUUUACUGCAGCCACCUUUGUGGUUUAAGUUUGGAGCCGCUGGUGUCGUGUACUUUGCAUUGUCAUUGCACAUAGCUGACUGAUUUACUGCAUCCAAAUAGCAGCACUCUGGAUGCGUGACAAUGACGAAUCUUAAAUAUCAAAUAUCGAAUACGUGAAACUUGUACAUUCUCUUCCGUGGGUUGCAGUCUGAAUAUCUGUGAUUAAUGAAGUGGCAAUAUCACUUUACUUAGAUUAAAGUAAAAUGAAUGCUAUUUUUAAUAAUUUUUUUUCUGAUAGCUUAAGAAGUUCACUUUUUGGAUCAUUCUCUCUUAUUUUUCAAAAUUAAAAAAAAAACAUCUUUAUUUGAAGGAGAAAAAAAAAAUGUAUGUGUGACUUAUAGCUAAAUAUAUAGUAGGCUUAUCAUUGGCUGGUUGUUCCCAUAAAUUCAAACAAAAGAGACAGUAUCAGUUUCCUGCUUCACUCAACACAAUUCCAGCAUGUAUUUUAAUCUCUUAUUGCUUUAAUGUUCGAGCCUCCUUUUAGAGUGACCCUCCACAGCAAAUGCGAUUUAUUCAGCAUGCAGCAGCUUUGUAUGCAGGAAUUAUCUAUUUCCAAACCCAGCUGGUAAACCAUGUCUUGUGUAGGAGUCUGCAGUGAGUCAAACACAUGACAUAUAACCUGGCAAAGGCUCAUUUAAUGCAUCACCAUCCGUGGAAAACUCUGGAUUCCUUUAGUAAUGGCGGCUACUCCUGUUAAAUUAUUGCUCAUCACUAACAGAUUUCCAACAGUCUUCUGUCAGCUUCCAGUUUUUGUAACACUUUCCGUUUUACUUAAUUUCCCUCUAGCGUGCUUUUGUGUAUAUAAGCAUUACAUCACUACCUCUCAGGAGCUGGAGCUCAAAUGUUGUAUGCAGUGAGAAAAAUAACUUUAUAAGUAUCACUGUCUUUAUUUUGCAACUGCUUUGAAACUGUGAAGGCAGCCAAACCAAUCAACCCAGGAUCACUAGAUGGAUUUUGCAUUUACCUGAAAAGCACAAUUGUCAUUGUAUGUCGCCUAAGAUUAUCUAUACCUUUGGUUUUGUCCCACUUACCUUUAUAUUGACCAUCUACCAUUUCAUAUUGCAUAAAAAACCUCCACUAGAGUUUCAAUUCGGGGCGCUGUAGAAGUGAAGCCCUGGCUGGCAUCCCUUAUUGAUAAGUGGCAGAUUGAGACUGCAGAAAUCAUUAAUUGCGUUUCAAAUUAAUUUUAAAUGCGACAGCUGUCAGGACAGUAUUACUGGUACAUGAAAGUACAGUACUCUUGUUUUUGCACUUUAUAGAUGCAAUUUGUCUCUAAAGGUACUUAAUUUCAUUUUUGAUCCUUACUGAUAUUAACACAAAAACUGUUUAUGUUUUAUCCAUUGUUCCACCUUGCAUUAAUAAUACUUUCAGAGGGCAGACUACAGUCCAACACAGCUGUAUCAAAAUGUCAGACUAAGAAUUUUUUUUUUCUAACUACAGGACUUUAAAAGUAUUAAACCAGUUAUAGAAUCUUUGUUUGUGCCUAGAAUACUUUUUAAAACCGUACAUUUCCUGAAACAAAUCACAAAUCAGUUUAUCUGUUACAAAGCCAUUUAAUUACAUAUAUCCAUCCAUCUUCUAACCUUUCAUUUUAAAUGAACUGGCAUCAUUGAGGAACUACAUCAUAAAAUGUCAUUUGCAAUAUUGUUUCUAGAUUUCAUGACCAAUGGCCUUUUUGCAAGAGCAUUUUAGAUAGGUGGUCCUAUGCAGUUACCAGAAAUGUAUUUCAUUGGAAAUAUGAUAUUGAUGGCUUGAAUUUAGUGUCUUUAUUAAACCUAUUUGUGCAGAUAGACUUUACAAGCUCAAAGGCUUUUAAUGCCACUGACAUUAAUACAUAUAUUCAAUGCGGCAAUUAGUUUUUAAGCACAGCUUCAUGCCAGCAUGCAUUUUAGGGGUCCACUCGUUGCAGCACUGUGCACAUUUUUCCACUGUAAUGCCAUGGGAUCAUAACUAACAGAGAUGUUACAUUAAUCUGCAUAGUAAAAUGAUCAGUUUUCUGUGUAUUUUUACAGUUCCAUAUGUAGGAUGUGUAGUGUUUUCAGCUUGUAUUUAAAGUGGUUGUUGGGGAGGAUUAAAAAAAAGAACUGAGAAGUGAAUGGGCUUGUUGUGGUGCAGUGCUCAUUUCACACACCGAAAGAGUUUUGUAUCUACAAAAGCUUUUCAGAAGAGUCUAAGAAAUGAGUCUCAUCCAUUACAGGGAACCUAUGGCUGGAAGCAGAGGGCAGGGGAACACCCUGAACAGGAUGACCGUUCUCACACACUCAUAAUGGAUCAUUACUUGCCUCUCUGGAUGUUUUACUCUCUCACAUAGCA